CUACGGGGGGCAGCAGUGAGGAAUAUUGGUCAAUGGGCGCGAGCCUGAACCAGCCAUCCCGCGUGCAGGAUGACGGCCCUAUGGGUUGUAAACUGCUUUUCUAUGCCAAGAAACCUGAUUACGUGUAAUCAGUUGCCGGUAGCAUAGGAAUAAGCAUCGGCUAACUCCGGGCCAGCAGCCGCGGUAAUACGGAGGAUGCAAGCGUUAUCCGGAUUCAUUGGGUUUAAAGGGUGCGCAGGUGGGCUUGUAAGUCAGUGGUGAAAUGCUGCCGCUUAACGGUAGAACUGCCAUUGAUACUGCGAGUCUUGAGUAUGGUUGAGGUAGGCGGAAUGUGUUGUGUAGCGGUGAAAUGCAUAGAUAUGACACAGAACGCCAAUUGCGAAGGCAGCUUACUAAGCCAUUACUGACGCUGAGGCACGAAAGCGUGGGGAGCGAACAGGAUUAGAUACCCGCGUAGUC
rnacentral:rRNA from 1 species